rnacentral:rRNA from 1 species
AUGUUCAAGGGUGGAUGGCGGAUUUGUCUCACGGAUGCAAGGCUCCUUAGGUCUCUCUCUCCUAUAGAAAGUCUUUUAGAAGACACAUCAAUACAUAUUGAUAUCUGUACUGCAGCUGCUGUUGAUGGUAGCAAUAUCCAAGGAACAACCAGUAACAAACUAGUCCAAGUCCAACCAUAUACAAGCGUCUUAAUGCCCUCGAAGUACAGAGAUGCCUUUAGGGAUGAUCAAGUUGCAGCAGUGGUUAUGCGGUACUGUCCCAAGAUACAGAAGGAGUGGCUGACCAAAUAUACAUGUUUCAUAAAGGUGGUGAUGCACAGGCAGGACAACAGACUCUUGGAGUUGGAGGAUGCUGCAGAAGCUAGUACUAGUGCUUUAAUAUUGCCUAAAUUUAUACGUGAGUUGGUUACACCAUUGCACGUGUAUGAUAACUUGUCCAUCUUUGUAUCCCUGAACCUCCUCAAGGAUCAAGAUGGCUUAGACUAA